GCUGACUGAAAAAAACAAAACAAAACAAAACAAAACCAAAAACCCCAGCAUGCAUCAUGCAAUCUCAUUUCAGCAAAAAAGACAGCUUUAAGGGGCACGUGAGAAAGCGGGAGGGCAUGUGCUGAGGGCCCAGGGCCCCCCCUCAUGGUAGAGCUCUGCAGUAUGUGCUACUUUCCAUUAGCUGCCGCCCUGUAUGUCUGUUUCUGCAGAAGUACCCUUGUGGUAACGAUUCACUGUGCACGCACAUCCAUGUGCACACCCUGGAAGCAAAGUCAACACAUGACCAAGGGUCUCCAGCCCACUAGGGUUACAGGGCUUUCAAGGAUUCCACAUAUUCUCGGACCCCAUAUCUAUCAGGGAAUCCGUGUUAUCUACACGCUCUGGGCAUUUGCCUCUUGUGAAUCACGCUGAGGGCCGAGCCCAGGCUAGGCAACGUCAGGCCUUACUUAAUGAAUGCCUGUCAGCUGAAUAAUGAUAUUUCCUGAAAGCAAUGCCUCAGGUCUCCUCCAGGGCCAGUGUGCUGGGAAUACUGCUGAUGUCACUGAGCUGCCGACCCUCCUCUGCUUCACCCUCCUCUUAAGGGCUGCCAGGGAGGAAGCUAAAGGAAAGGUCAGUCACCAGGGUCACCAGCAGGAGAUGUUGGUAAGGUACUCCACACAGGAGGCCAUGAAGGGGCUCUCUGCCCAGCAUGGCAUGGCAGCCCCUUGGACGAGCCAGCUGGCUAUGAAGCCUGGGGUCCUCCCUCACCCUGCUUCUCUGGGAAGGGAGUGGACGAGAGAGAAGCAGGGGUCCACCCUGUGACUGUUGGCGAUAGACUCCUGCUGUUCCAGGCCCACAAGGGUGGAGGAAUCUAGAGCAGGGAAUUUGGCCUGGUUUUUCGAUGUGAACUGGGGCUGGGCCCCGUUCUGUCAUGUCUCCAACAUUCUCUAUUUCUGACCUUUAAAAAUAUGAACAAUAACAUCAAUAAUAAGGAUGAGUAUUCGGCGUGCACCGGUUUCCUACUAGACAUGGCGUAAGUCACGUACACGAUCUCCUUUCAUCUCUACAGAAACUCUGUGAGAUUGAGAACGUAAUUAUUUUCACAUUAGCGAUAAAGAAACCGAGUCACAGAGAAGAAGGUGCCCAAGCUUUGCCUGUUGCUGGAGAAAGAGGGAUUCAGCCCAGACCAACCAUUCUUUCCUCUUGUCCCUGCUCUUGCUGGGUUUUGCCACUGGCGCAGGGUGAUGCGACCUGACAUCUAGGGGAUGCUUUAGAGUCAGUCCACCAAGAGUUUACACUCCCCGACUCGGGGUGGGGGGUGGGGAAGCCAGGAGCAAACAAGACUUUGAAGCCUCGGCAUCCUCACACAAGCCCCCAACAGCUUACUCCACUAGCAUUCAAACCCAGAUCUUGGGCUUCGGUCUUCUCCAUUUCACACAGCGCCCUUCUGGCUCAGAGCUUUAUCUCCUUUGAGCCCUGGGCUCCCUGCGUGCAACCCUGUGCAGAGCGGCAGGGUGAGGGUGCUCAGUCUGCUGCCUCACCAGCUCUCCACGGUGACUCACUCCCGGACCCAGGGGAAGCACAGCCCCGUUUGCCGCGCCUCCAGCUCCCCGCCUCCACAUUUGCUAACCGAAACCCGACUGCUGCUAUUUUUAACCCUCCAGCUCCCCCUUGCCUGGGGCUCCCCCCCUUUCCCCCCCACCCUCUUGCCCCAACCCGGUGGCACCAGUCUGUCAUUCUGAGAACACUUCUACAACCUGAAGGCCCCGGAGGGCGCAGCGGAUGCCCCGGACGUGCAGAGUGGUAGCACCCCGAGAACAGAUGCAUACCUUUGUGCUCACUGCACAUCUGUGCCCAGUGCAUGGCACAGAGCUCUGCAAGUCUGUAACAAACGGAUGAACUGUUGAGUGACCAGCUUGGUAAAUGAGGUUCCCGGGCUGCCAGCGUGAUUCUCGAGAGUUUCGGGGUAACAACAAUGAGACCAGAAAGGCUGGAAGCCCAAAGGAAAAGUCAGUGCCACUCUGAGGCAGCAUCUCCACCAGACGGCACCACCUGCCCCCUUCACCAUGCUGGCCACGAAUGUGCACACAGGUCCCCGCAUUAAAUCAUGGAGCAGCCUUAGGAGGCUUA